AACGAACGCUGGCGGUAUGCUUAACACAUGCAAGUCGAACGGAAUUUAUAGAGCUUGCUCUAUAAAUUUAGUGGCAAACGGGUGAGUAAUAUAGAGGAAUCUACCUAGCAGUAAGGAAUAACCUUGGGAAACCAAGGAUAAUACCAUAUAUUACCGUUAUAUUUAUAUAACGGGAAAGAUUUAUCGCUGUUAGAUGAGCCUCUAUCGGAUUAGCUUGUUGGUAGGGUAAUGGCCUACCAAGGCAAUGAUCCGUAGCUGGUCUGAGAGGAUGAUCAGCCACACUGGGACUGAGACACGGCCCAG
rnacentral:rRNA from 1 species